CUCCCAAGUAGACAUAAGUAAUUAUCAACACUUAGCACAUCUGUCAGUCUUUAUUUCAACUCUCAAGCACCAUGUCUCUGGAAUUUUGACCCUUACCUUCAUGAGUUUCCAGUGAGACAGAGCCAGCUGCAAGUCGCAGGGAGGUUGGCACUGCACAGACUCCUGGCUGAGAGCUUCAUGCCAGUUCUCCACAUUCCAAAGGUAUUAAAUAAUUAUGGGGGUGGAGGUAACACUGUCAGAAACAAUUUUGAGUGUAUUCAAUAUUAAAAAGCAGGGCUCUUCAAUGCUGCUGAAUUCUGAUGCCAGGGACUUUACAUAAUCCAACCUGUUGACCAAAGGCAUUCUGGGAGUAAGAGACAUCAGAUGUAAAUGCCAUACUUGAUCCUUUCAUUAUAAGUGACUAAGCCCACCAUGGAGGUCCAAAGAGAAACCUGUCUGAAAAACAAGAGCAUUCAGGUUGGUGAUUCACAAGUAGAGCUCAUAGAGACUACAACUAGAACUGUGGAUGCUGAUGUGAUCCUCAACAGAAAGAGUAAAUUCAAAGGAAGGCAAUAUACCAAAAAAAAAGUUUUAUGACAGAAAUAUGUAUCUAAUACCUCAUCCACAGAGGGAUAAAACAGAGCAAGGUAUAAUCAAUGUCAUGGUCUUGCCUUUUCAUGAGAUUCAAGAAGGAAGAGAGUGAAGAGAAUUUGGAGCUCAAAUUAAAAAAAAAGAAUAUUAACCUUUUUUUUUUACAUGUAAUUGGGAAAUAACUGAAAUAAAAUAUAUUUUAAAAUAAACA
rnacentral:lncRNA from 1 species